CGACGUGUGUCACACGCAGGGAGGGGUGACGGGCGAGAAGGGGAUUUAGGAGCCCGGGGGGUGACACACGGGGGGGUUUAUUGGUGUCAAACGUAUUCGGGAGCCCAAACAGGUGUCGCACGAGGGGGUUUGUCAGUGUCAAACAUAUUCCGGAGCCCAAACAGGCGUCGCACGAGGGGGUUUGUCAGUGUCAAACGUAUUCUGGAGCCCAAACAGGCAUCACACAAGGGGGUUUGUCAGUGUCAAACAUAUUCCGGAUCCCAAACAGGCGUCGCACAAGGGGGUUUGUCAGUGUCAAACAUAUUCCAGAUCCCAAACAGGUGUCGCACGAAGGUGUUUAUCGGUGUCAAACGUAUUCCGGAUCCCAAACAGGUGUCGCACGAGGGAGUUUGUCAGUGUCAAACGUAUUCAGGAUCCCAAACAGGCGUCACACAAGGGGGUUUAUUGGUAUCAAACGUAUUCUGGAGCCCAAACAGGCGUUGCAUGGGGGGUUUAUUUGCACGGAAGAGGUUUAGGAGCCUGAUGGGUGUCACACGAGAGUGUUUAUCAGUGUCAAAGAUAGUCUGGAUCCCAAACAGGCGUCACACGAGGGUGUUUAUCGGUGCCAAAGAUCUUCCGGCUCCCAAACAGGCGUCGCGCGAGGGGGUUUAUUUACACGGAAGAGAUUUAGGAGCCUGACGCCCGUCGCACGGUGACUUACAGCCGCCGGAGCCGUUCCRCAGCCUGGCUGGCGGCAGCCGCCCCCCUUUCCCUCCGCUACCACCGUCCCCCGUCGUCACCCGCCGUCAGCCGUCCUCCCGCAAGCUCCUGACGGCCGGGUUGGGGUACUCGGGGUUCUCGAUGGCGCCGGGGCCGAACUUGAGCUCCAGGAAGGCGCGGACGUCGUGGGGGGCCAUGGCGGUGAAGCCGGCGAAGGGCAGCGGGCGCAGCGGUAGCAACAGGCGCUCGGGGAACUCCACGUCCUGCCGGUGGUCCAACCACGUGUCCUUGGUCAUGACGCCGUCGCGGGCGUAGAAGGGCCACAGGUCGACGUGGAGGCGGUUGGCGCGGCUGUAGUGCACGCGGAAGAAGUCGCCCUCGGGCGCCUUCUCCCACACGAAGCCCUCGUCGUCCACCACGGCGCCGCCGGCGGCCGCCUGUCGCAACAGGCGGCACUUGGCGGCGUCCUCCCGGUAGAUGCCCAGGUCCACGUCGUAAUCCCAAGGGAUGAUGUCGCCGUGGCGCGCGGCGCCCAGCAGCGAGCCRCCCUCCAGCCAGUACCGCACGCCGGCGGCGGUCAGCACGGCGGCGGUGCGGCGCGCUGUAGCCCGCAGCG
ensembl:lncRNA